rnacentral:rRNA from 1 species
UACGUAGGCAGCGAGCGUUGUUCGGAGUUACUGGGCGUAAAGGGCGCGUAGGCGGGCGGCCAAGUCAGGGGUGAAAGCCCCCAGCUCAACUGGGGAAGUGCCUUUGAUACUGGUUGUCUCGAGGGAGGUAGGGGCGUGCGGAACUUCCGGUGGAGCGGUGAAAUGCGUAGAUAUCGGAAGGAACGCCGGUGGCGAAAGCGGCGCGCUGGACCUCUUCUGACGCUGAGGCGCGAAAGCUAGGGGAGCAAACGGG